UGUAAUAUGAAAGCUAGAGAAAUGUGGAAGAGAAGCCUUCCAGUGUUACCAUAGCCAUGAAGUCAUAAUUCAGUCUCAGACUGAUGGAGCCAAUGCAAUUUCCAUCCCAUUGCUGCAUAAAUAAAGGGACUGAGAAGGAUAAUGGGGCUCUGACAUAGAGAGAUCUUUGGGAAUUUUCUUUGCCACGGGUUUUGAUGUGAUUUUAAUGUAAAAUAGGAUGCAAAUAAUUGGUUGAUAGUUAAUCAAGUCACUCAACAUUGUGUCCAUCUUUUUUUGUUACAAAAGAACAGUUCUUGUGUACUGUCACAUGAAGAACGUGAUGCCUGAUAAAUUCUGAUUCCAUCCAGGACCAGUCUCUUUGCUUCCCCCUGGAGUUCUUUUUUGAUCCAGAUUGACUUUCUUUGUACAGCUACCAAGAGGGCCAGCAGAUAUUCACUGGACAGCUCUUUCUCCUCUCACUCAUGCUUGUGCACGUCCAGAACACUGGGAAUGUCUAGGUACAGCAUUCCUAUAGUUGGAAUUUCAGGCAGUUCCAGUUCCAGGUUGAUGGGAAUGACUGCUUAUCAAUCCCUUCCUCUGCUGUGCCCAGACCUCACCAGUAUCUCCCAUGAUAUGACCUUUCUUCCUGUCAAAAGCCAGUUCAGUAUUUCUCCCUCCUCCAGUCUUCCACAACUUAACCCCUCUUCUUCUCCUCACCAUCUAUUCAAGCAUCCUCCUUUCCUCUCCUUGCCUUUCCUUACUAAAGGGACAAAAUUUUGAAAUGUGCCUCCAGGUUACCUAAAUCUGACCUGUAUGUCUAGCACAGAGCAAUCCUGGCAAAUGAAUGUGGCCACUGGUUCUCCUUCCAGUACACCCCUGUUUCCCACUGUUUUUGUAAACAGAUGAUUCUGGGGUUUGGGUUGCUUGGGGCUUUUUUUCCUCCCCUCUAUGCAUUUUGAUCAGCUGCUUUCUUGUUUUACCUCCAGUCAGCAUUAUUCUGGCUUCUCUGUUUUCAGACAUGUACAGGACACUUAGUGUGCUGUGAAGUGGAGUAAAAAUGCAUUCUCAACUAGAUAUAAUCAAAGUUUGAUCUCUGCCUCAUGCUGUAAGUUUGAGCAGGACUGGUUCUAUCAGUCCUUUUGGUCCCCACCUUCCCUGCAAAGAGAAUGAGAUUUUACAUGCAGAGUAAUGGUGUGUGAGUUUGAGGCAAUGGAGUAUCUUGACAUUAUGGGAUUAUGCUUAUAAGGAGGUGCAAAGAACUCCCACAGACAAAACCUGGUGAUUAAUUGGGUAUUGUGGGUGCUUGAUGUUUUUAAUUUAGGCUUUCAGGAGUUCAUGAGCCCUGGUGCCCUGUGGUGGACAUCUUCUUCAUCACAACAUAGUAAGUAUUGACAGCUUUUGAGCCUACAGACUGCUGAGUUAUGGAAUUUAAAAAAAAAAAGAAAUCUUGGUCUCCAUAUUUUGGAACAUUAGCCCUUGCAUUUGGACCAAUUUUCAACAAAACUGUAUUGAAAACUCUUCUUACUUGAUUUUUCUGUUAUUAUUUUGAAGUGAAUGGGGUGUUAUUCAUCUGUUUUGAAAUCCUGUAUGUUGUUAAAUGACUGCAUUUUGGUGGGCUUGCUUUAUGAACUCAGCUUCUUUCCAACAGCAAAAAGACCUGGGAACAGCUGCUCUGCAGCCACAGGAAGGCCUUUUGGAGAGAGCUGGGGGCAGAGGAGGGGAAGCCAUGUCAAAGCUAGCUUGUGAUCAACACACAACUACAAUUCCCACUUCACAACCUCUCAGUUUCCUUACUAGCCUCUUGUGAGGUAUAUUGUCAAAAGUGCUUUAAAAAUCCCAAUAAAUUAU